GAUGAACGCUGGCGGCGUGCCUAAUACAUGCAAGUCGAGCGAACGGACGAGAAGUUUGCUCCCCCGAUGGUAGCGGCGGACGGGUGAUUAACAUGUGGAUAACCUACCUAUAAGACUGGGAUAACUUUGGGAAACCGUAUCUAAUACCGGAUAAUAUUUUGAACCGCAUGGUUCAAGAGUUAAAUUCGGUCUUUCUUUCACUUAUAGAUUGAUCCGCGCUGCAUCAGCUAGUUGGUAAGGUAACGGCUUACCAAGGCAACGAUGCAUAGCCGACCUGAGAGCGUCAUCGCACACACGGGAACUGAGGCUCAGCACAGACUCCUACAGGAGGACGCAGUCGAGACUCUUCCGCAAUGCGCCAGUGGCUAACGUUACAAAGCCGCGUGAGUGAUGAACGACUUAUGAUCGUAAAACUAUGUUAUUCGGGGAGUACGAAAGUGUAAGUAACUGUGCACAUCUUGACGGUACCUAGUCAGAAAGCCACGGCUAACUACGUG
rnacentral:rRNA from 1 species